rnacentral:rRNA from 1 species
GACGAACGCUGGCGGCGUGCUUAACACAUGCAAGUCGAACGGAAAGGCCCUGCUUGCAGGGUACUCGAGUGGCGAACGGGUGAGUAACACGUGGGUGAUCUGCCCUGCACUUCGGGAUAAGCCUGGGAAACUGGGUCUAAUACCGGAUAGGAGCCAUUUUUAGUGUGGUGGUUGGAAAGUUUUUUCGGUGUAGGAUGAGCUCGCGGCCUAUCAGCUUGUUGGUGGGGUAAUGGCCUACCAAGGCGGCGACGGGUAGCCGGCCUGAGAGGGUGGACGGCCACAGUGGGACUGAGAUACGGCCCAGACUCCUACGGGGGGCAGCAGUGGGGAAUAUUGCACAAUGGGCGCAAGCCUGAUGCAGCGACGCCGCGUGGGGGAUGACGGCCUUCGGGUUGUAAACUCCUUUCGCUAGGGACGAAGCUUUUUGUGACGGUACCUAGAUAAGAAGCACCGGCUAACUACGUG